GAAGAACGCGGGCGGCGUGCCGAAUACAUGCAAGUCGAACGCUUCUUUCCUCCCGAGUGCCUGCACUCAAUUGGAAAGAGGAGUGGCGGACGGGUGAGUAACACGUGGGUAACCUACCCAUCAGAGGGGGAUAACACUUGGAAACAGGUGCUAAUACCGCAUAACAGUUUAUGCCGCAUGGCAUAAGAGUGAAAGGCGCUUUCGGGUGUCGCUGAUGGAUGGACCCGCGGUGCAUUAGCUAGUUGGUGAGGUAACGGCUCACCAAGGCCACGAUGCAUAGCCGACCUGAGAGGGUGAUCGGCCACACUGGGACUGAGACACGGCCCAGACUCCUACGGGAGGCAGCAGUAGGGAAUCUUCGGCAAUGGACGAAAGUCUGACCGAGCAACGCCGCGUGAGUGAAGAAGGUUUUCGGAUCGUAAAACUCUGUUGUUAGAGAAGAACAAGGACGUUAGUAACUGAACGUCCCCUGACCGUAUCUAACCAGAAAGCCACGGCUAACUACGUA
rnacentral:rRNA from 1 species